CCUACGGGUGGCAGCAGUGGGGAAUAUUGGACAAUGGGGGCAACCCUGAUCCAGCCAUGCCGCGUGUGUGAAGAAGGCCCUCGGGUUGUAAAGCACUUUCAGUGAGGAAGAACGCCUGGUGGUUAAUACCCAUCAGGAAAGACAUCACUCACAGAAGAAGCACCGGCUAACUCCGUGCCAGCAGCCGCGGUAAUACGGAGGGUGCGAGCGUUAAUCGGAAUUACUGGGCGUAAAGCGCGCGUAGGUGGCUUGAUAAGCCGGUUGUGAAAGCCCCGGGCUCAACCUGGGAACGGCAUCCGGAACUGUCAAGCUAGAGUGAAGGAGAGGAAGGUAGAAUUCCCGGUGUAGCGGUGAAAUGCGUAGAGAUCGGGAGGAAUACCAGUGGCGAAGGCGGCCUCCUGGACUGACACUGACACUGAGGUGCGAAAGCGUGGGUAGCAAACAGGAUUAGAUACCCCGGUAGUC
rnacentral:rRNA from 1 species